AGGGGAAGUGGGUCGGUCACUACCAUAUCAGGUACAGAAGGGGGAGUGGGUCGGUCACUACCAUAUCAGGUACAGAAGGGGAAGUGGGUCGGUCACUACCAUAUCAGGUACAGAAGGGGGAGUGGGUCGGUCACUACCAUAUCAGGUACAGAAGGGGAAGUGGGUCGGUCAGUACCAUAUCAGGUACAGAAGGGGAAGUGGGUCGGUCAGUACCAUAUCAGGUACAGAAGGGGGAGUGGGUCGGUCACUACCAUAUCAGGUACAGAAGGGGGAGUGGGUCGGUCAGUACCGUCUCAGGUACAGAAGGGGGAGUGGGUCGGUCAGUACCGUCUCAGGUACAGAAGGGGGAGUGGGUCGGUCAGUACCGUCUCAGGUACAGAAGGGGGAGUGGGUCGGUCAGUACCGUCUCAGGUACAGAAGGGGGAGUGGGUCGGUCAGUACCGUCUCUGGGAAUAAUGGGACGUUUGCUGUCAUAUAGUAGUAGUUGUGCUCUUGACUGUUUGUUAAUGAUGUGGUUGUGUGUGAA